rnacentral:rRNA from 1 species
AAAAGCUUUCUUUAAUUGAAUAAUUGAAUUUAAUUUUUUAGUGCAAAAGCAAAAAUAAAAAUUAGGGACAAGAAGACCCUAUGAAUUUUUUAUUAAAUUUUAUAAAACUUUAUAUAAAAUUUAAUUUAAUUGGGGUGAUGGAAAAAGAAUAAAUAUCUUUUUUUUAAAAAAAAUUGGUUCCGUUUUUAGCGAUUAAAUGAAAAAAANACUCUAGGGAUAACAGCGUAAUAAUUUUGGAUAGUUCAUAUAGAUAAAAUAGUUUGCGACCUCGAUGUUGGAUUAGGAUUCUUUUUUGGUGAANAAGUUAAAAAAA